GGAAUAUUGGGCAAUGGGCGCAAGCCUGACCCAGCAACGCCGCGUGAAGGAAGAAGGCUUUCGGGUUGUAAACUUCUUUUAUCAGGGACGAAAGCAAUGACGGUACCUGAUGAAGAAGCCACGGCUAACUACGUGCCAGCAGCCGCGGUAAUACGUAGGUGGCAAGCGUUAUCCGGAUUUACUGGGUGUAAAGGGCGUGUAGGCGGGACUGCAAGGCAGAUGUGAAAAUUAUGGGCUCAAACCAUAACCUGCAUUUGAAACUGUAGUUCUUGAGUGAUGGAGAGGCAGGCGGAAUUCCGUGUGUAGCGGUGAAAUGCGUAGAUAUACGGAGGAACACCAGUGGCGAAGGCGGCCUGCUGGACAUUAACUGACGCUGAGGCGCGAAAGCGUGGGGAGCAAAC
rnacentral:rRNA from 1 species